GACGAACGCUGGCGGCGUGCUUAACACAUGCAAGUCGAGCGGUAAGGCCCUGCACUUGUGGGGUGCUCAAGUGGCGAGAGCGUGAGUGUCACGUGAGUGGCCUGCGCUUUUGUUUGGGGUACCUUCAGGGAACAGGAACGCAUAUAGGACAUAAGCUCCUUAUACACGGGGUGUGUGUGAGAAAUAUGCAGUUUCGUGGGUUACGGGUGGUCUCGCGGCGUAUUAGCUAGGUGGUGGGGUAGCAGCUCAUUAAGGCGUUGACGGGUAGCCGGCCUGAGAGGGUGACCGGCCACAUUGGGACUGAGAAACGGGCCAGACUGCUACGGGAGGCAGCAGUGGGGAACAGUGCACAAUGGGCGGAAGCAGGAAGCAGCAACGCCGCGUGGGGGAUGACGGCCUUCGGGGUGUAACCCGCGUGCGACUGGGACGAAGAGUGAGUGACGGUAACGGGUAAAGAAGCAACGGCUAACUACGUG
rnacentral:rRNA from 1 species